rnacentral:rRNA from 1 species
CACUAUCGUUAACUGAAUACAUAGGUUAACGAGGCGAACCGGGGGAACUGAAACAUCUAAGUACCCCGAGGAAAAGAAAUCAACCGAGAUUCCCCCAGUAGCGGCGAGCGAACGGGGAGCAGCCCAGAGUCUGAAUCAGCUUGUGUGUUAGUGGAACGGUCUGGAAAGUCCGACGGUACAGGGUGAUAGUCCCGUACACCAAAAUGCACAGGCUGUGAACUCGAAGAGUAGGGCGGGACACGUGGUAUCCUGUCUGAAUAUGGGGGGACCAUCCUCCAAGGCUAAAUACUCCUGACUGACCGAUAGUGAACCAGUACCGUGAGGGAAAGGCGAAAAGAACCCCGGCGAGGGGAGUGAAAAAGAACCUGAAACCGUGUACGUACAAGCAGUGGGAGCACCUUUAUGGUGUGACUGCGUACCUUUUGUAUAAUGGGUCAGCGACUUAUAUUCUGUAGCAAGGUUAACCGUAUAGGGGAGCCGCAGGGAAACCGAGUCUUAACUGGGCGUUAAGUUGCAGGGUAUAGACCCGAAACCCGGUGAUCUAGCCAUGGGCAGGUUGAAGGUUGGGUAACACUAACUGGAGGACCGAACCGACUAAUGUUGAAAAAUUAGCGGAUGACUUGUGGCUGGGGGUGAAAGGCCAAUCAAACCGGGAGAUAGCUGGUUCUCCCCGAAAGCUAUUUAGGUAGCGCCUCGUGAACUCAUCUUCGGGGGUAGAGCACUGUUUCGGCUAGGGGGUCAUCCCGACUUACCAACCCGAUGCAAACUACGAAUACCGAAGAAUGUUAUCACGGGAGACACACGGCGGGUGCUAACGUCCGUCGUGAAGAGGGAAACAACCCAGACCGCCAGCUAAGGUCCCAAAGUCAUGGUUAAGUGGGAAACGAUGUGGGAAGGCACAGACAGCCAGGAUGUUGGCUUAGAAGCAGCCAUCAUUUAAAGAAAGCGUAAUAGCUCACUGGUCGAGUCGGCCUGCGCGGAAGAUGUAACGGGGCUAAACCAUGCACCGAAGCUGCGGCAGCGACACUAUGUGUUGUUGGGUAGGGGAGCGUUCUGUAAGCCUGCGAAGGUGACCUGUGAGGGUUGCUGGAGGUAUCAGAAGUGCGAAUGCUGACAUAAGUAACGAUAAAGCGGGUGAAAAGCCCGCUCGCCGGAAGACCAAGGGUUCCUGUCCAACGUUAAUCGGGGCAGGGUGAGUCGACCCCUAAGGCGAGGCCGAAAGGCGUAGUCGAUGGGAAACAGGUUAAUAUUCCUGUACUUGGUGUUACUGCGAAGGGGGGACGGAGAAGGCUAUGUUAGCCGGGCGACGGUUGUCCCGGUUUAAGCAUGUAGGCUGGUUGUCCAGGCAAAUCCGGAUAAUCAAGGCUGAGGUGUGAUGACGAGGCACUACGGUGCUGAAGUAACAAAUGCCCUGCUUCCAGGAAAAGCCUCUAAGCAUCAGGUAACAUCAAAUCGUACCCCAAACCGACACAGGUGGUCAGGUAGAGAAUACCAAGGCGCUUGAGAGAACUCGGGUGAAGGAACUAGGCAAAAUGGUGCCGUAACUUCGGGAGAAGGCACGCUGGUGUGUAGGUGAAGUCCCUGCGGAUGGAGCUGAGACCAGUCGAAGAUACCAGCUGGCUGCAACUGUUUAUUAAAAACACAGCACUGUGCAAACACGAAAGUGGACGUAUACGGUGUGACGCCUGCCCGGUGCCGGAAGGUUAAUUGAUGGGGUUAUCCGUAAGGAGAAGCUCUUGAUCGAAGCCCCGGUAAACGGCGGCCGUAACUAUAACGGUCCUAAGGUAGCGAAAUUCCUUGUCGGGUAAGUUCCGACCUGCACGAAUGGCGUAAUGAUGGCCAGGCUGUCUCCACCCGAGACUCAGUGAAAUUGAACUCGCUGUGAAGAUGCAGUGUACCCGCGGCAAGACGGAAAGACCCCGUGAACCUUUACUAUAGCUUGACACUGAACAUUGAGCCUUGAUGUGUAGGAUAGGUGGGAGGCUUUGAAGCGUGGACGCCAGUCUGCGUGGAGCCAACCUUGAAAUACCACCCUUUAAUGUUUGAUGUUCUAACGUUGGCCCCUUACCGGGGUUGCGGACAGUGUCUGGUGGGUAGUUUGACUGGGGCGGUCUCCUCCCAAAGCGUAACGGAGGAGCACGAAGGUUAGCUAAUCCUGGUCGGACAUCAGGAGGUUAGUGCAAUGGCAUAAGCUAGCUUGACUGCGAGCGUGACGGCGCGAGCAGGUGCGAAAGCAGGUCAUAGUGAUCCGGUGGUUCUGAAUGGAAGGGCCAUCGCUCAACGGAUAAAAGGUACUCCGGGGAUAACAGGCUGAUACCGCCCAAGAGUUCAUAUCGACGGCGGUGUUUGGCACCUCGAUGUCGGCUCAUCACAUCCUGGGGCUGAAGUAGGUCCCAAGGGUAUGGCUGUUCGCCAUUUAAAGUGGUACGCGAGCUGGGUUUAGAACGUCGUGAGACAGUUCGGUCCCUAUCUGCCGUGGGCGCUGGAGAAUUGAGGGGGGCUGCUCCUAGUACGAGAGGACCGGAGUGGACGCAUCACUGGUGUUCGGGUUGUCAUGCCAAUGGCACUGCCCGGUAGCUAAAUGCGGAAGAGAUAAGUGCUGAAAGCAUCUAAGCACGAAACUUGCCCCGAGAUGAGUUCUCCCUGAGACUUUAAGUCUCCUGAAGGAACGUUAAAGACGAUGACGUUGAUAGGCCGGGUGUGUAAGCGCAGCGAUGCGUUGAGCUAACCGGUACUAAUGAACCGUGAGGCUUAACCUU